rnacentral:lncRNA from 1 species
AAACAACUAGCAAUUUCAUAAGUAGAUUUUUAUUCUUGAAUUAGUUGUGCAAGGUUUUUAAUUAUAAAUUUCCAAGAGCAAUGGCAUCAGUCAAGGCUGAGAAAUCUGUUGGCACUCAACUCUUUGGGCAGGUCAAGAAGGAAUCUGCAACUGCAAAGGCCAGUAAUGGUCCCUCCAAACCCGCAGCUUCCAAGCCCGCCGCAAAAAAGGGUGCUCAAAAGCCUCAGGAGCCUAAGAAGAAGAAGGUGGUACAUAUAUUAUUAUUAUUAUUAUUAUUAUUAUUCCAUAAAUACCUUGAUUUUAUUUUAUAGUAUCUCAUUUCUAGAAUGACUAAUGCAUUCUCACAUGUUAUAUAUAUAUAUAUUCAAUGCUUGAUUUAUUCCUUAAGCAAUCAUAAAAAAAAGGUGUAAUGGAAAGAUGAGUAGUCUAAUCAUAAGAAUCUGAUCUGUAGGGAAAAGGUGGGAAAGCAGCGACCAAGCAGUAGCCACUUCUACCAGGCCAAUUCAAGCGCAGAUUUUUUAUGAUUUGAGAUCUUGAAUAUCUAAAUACUAGUACUACUACUUAUUUAUAUUAUGAUCAGGGAAACUCUAGGUUUCUUGUAAGUUAUUUUCACAAGAUUGCCCAAAUUAAAUAAGAUAUAGUAAUAUUGGGAGCUACAUCAAAACAAAGGUAUAAUAAAUAUAUCACCAUGAUACUUUUUUUUUGGUCGGAACAAUUCAUCUAAAUAUAAAGAUCAGU